rnacentral:rRNA from 1 species
UACGUAGGAGGCAAGCGUUGUCCGGAAUUACUGGGCGUAAAGCGCGUGUAGGUGGUGGGACAAGUCUGCUGUGAAAGCGCCUGGCUUAACCGGGCGAGGUCGGCGGAAACUGCCUCACUGGAGGACGGUAGAGGGGGGUGGAAUUCCCGGUGUAGUGGUGAAAUGCGUAGAGAUCGGGAGGAACACCUGUGGCGAAGGCGGCCCCCUGGGCCGGCCCUGACACUGAGAGACGAAAGCUAGGGGAGCGAAUGGG